CUUUAAUAUUGCCGACAAUGCAGGAUGGACAGCUCUACAUGAGGCCUGUGCUGAAGGUUAUCCAGAUGUGGUGGAGGAACUUUUGCGUGCAGGUGCAAAUGUUACUAGCAGGGGACCAGAAGGAUUCACUCCUCUCCAUGAUGCUGUAGUGUCGGGUGAAUAUGAGGUCGUGUUGCUUCUUCUUCAGUAUGGCUCAAAUCCUCAUGAUAAGAAUUCACACGGACAGAGUGCACUGGACCUUGCAAAACAUGAAAUCAUCAAAGACCUGCUAUUGACAUUCAGAGAACCUCCUGUUGUAUCUGGGAAACCAAAUGAAUCUUUUAAACAAGAUUCUGAAUUUUCACAAGGUAAUCAAGUUCACAGACAACCCAGACAGCCACCUUCCUCUUACAGGAGAGAUGAUAAGAGGAACACUGCAGGAAGCAGUGCUGGCCCUGCAAAUAUCUUUGUAUGUAAAAUUUAUUAACAACAGCUACAAUACUGCAAAUUAUUAUAAUGAUUUAAUCAUUAAUCGAUUAAUCAGUUUUAAUAAUUUUUAGGUUGGUCAGUUACAAACCACAAAGGCAACACCCAUAGAGGUGCUAUCGAAGCAGACAGGAGCAUUAAGAAAUGAAACUCUUAUGUGCAUCACUUCCAUCCAACUGAUUACUAAGGAAGAGUUCCUGCCAUCUUACAUGAUGGACAGAUACUGGGAU